rnacentral:rRNA from 1 species
CUACGGGUCGCAGCAGUGAGGAAUAUUGCACAAUGGGGGGAACCCUGAUGCAGCAACGCCGCGUGGAGGAUGACGCAUUUCCGUGUGUAAACUCCUUUUAUAUGUCAAGAAAAUGACAGUAGCAUAUGAAUAAGCACCGGCUAACUCCGUGCCAGCAGCCGCGGUAAUACGGAGGGUGCAAGCGUUACUCGGAAUCACUGGGCGUAAAGGACGCGUAGGCGGGCUUGUAAGUCAGGUGUGAAAUCCUACAGCUUAACGGUAGAACUGCACUUGAAACUACGAGCCUAGAGUAUGGGAGGGGCAGAUGGAAUUAGUGGUGUAGGGGUAAAAUCCGUAGAUAUCACUAGGAAUACCUAAAGCGAAGGCGAUCUGCUGGAACAUAACUGACGCUAAGGCGUGAAAGCGUGGGGAGCAAACAGGAUUAGAUACCCGUGUAGUC